rnacentral:lncRNA from 1 species
AGUUGCAUAAUAUGGACAUAACGAUUUAGAUAUAUAACAGAUAUGAGCGCUUAAAGGUCCACAAAUUUUUUCUUAAGGAAAAAGGUGGAGUAGUAAAACAGUGGAAGAAUGCUUUAAAUGAUGUUUGUUACUCAUAUUAGGUUAAGUAGCCACACUCCAAGUUCAGGAUACCAUUUCUAUACCAACCAAACUCUCAGUCAUCAUUCACUCUGGAGGCAGCACAAUUUGUGAUACUUCAUUGAAGGUUGGACACAGUUUAAAUACAGAAUUUAUUCAUUUCUAUUGCAAUUUUCACAAUUCUGACAUGCACAAGGCAUAGGCAACAGGCACUAAUGCAUGUGGUGGCAAAUAUAAUCAGUUAGGGCAACCAAAUAUAUUUGUUUUUUUUCAAAUAGAUUGCCCGAUGCAUGCUAAGAGAGAACAUCUAUUGAACAUGUGCCUAUUUGAAGAUGCAAACAAGUUACAGCCUAAGUCGCAAAGUUUUAUUAACCCAAAAGAAUAUACAAAAAUUCUCCCGAGUCUAGAACAAGAUACAUCAAGUAAGAGAGUACGGCUGUUGAACAUAUUCGUAUCUCCACAGCAUUUUGAGUUUGCACCCAAACAUUGGUCUAUUUGGUGUUUGUCCUGCAUACAUCCAAUGGUCAACAGGUCAAAGCGCUUCUGAGAACCGUAAAUCUGCAGGGCCAGGUCCCAAAAUUCCUUUCUGUUCGCUUAUCUUGCCUAGUCCAUGAGGUGCUGGUACUGGGGCUGACAAUGGUGGUGGUGGUUCUGCAAGAACAUUUUGACCAUCGUCUCUCCAGCCAGGCUCCUGUCACUCUCUCAUGACGAUCAGAAUUCAGAAGCAAACAAAGCAGAAGGCAUAUGAAAUGAAAGUUGGUCACAUCAAUUUCAUAGAGGAAAAAAAAAACAUGUAUCUGUCAGCACCUAAAACAAAUGAUACAAAUAUACAAUCACAGCAACAGGCAGGUACCAAACAUCAUCAGCAACAUUAUUUUCCUUUUAAAAGGAUUCCUAAUCUAUGAUCCUACGGGGAAAUUUACCUAUGAAGUGAGAAAAAGAAAAAUAAAUGAGGCAAUAUUUGAUUUCUCCAUCACUUAAAUCUUGAGAUAUUUUGGGGGAAAAAAGGGCACUUAACAAAAGCUAAAGAUACUCGCCUCAUUGUCUUGCAACAAUGGGGUUGCAAGGGGUGGAGCAACAUCUGGGUCAGGCUUUUGAAAUAUAAACGUACUAUAGAGACCUGUAAUGGAAAAAUCCCAAAAGAAUGAGUACAUAUGGAUAGAAUGUCAAAGCAAUGAAAGUUGAAGGUAGCCAUGUGACAGAUAAAAACCACACCUAGCACAUCAUAUGAUCUGGGAAGAAGUCUCCCUCUUGGAUCAAUCAGAUUUGGACCAGCACUCAUCAGCAUGCCUGCAAAUAGAGCUCUUUGGGCAGCAUUUCAGUUACAAAAAGGAAAAACAAUACACAUAUCUUCCAUAUAAAAAUAAACUGAAAUGCAAAAGCAAUAAUAAUUUUUAAUUUGAACAAGCGUGGAAACUAAAAAAGUUAAAAAUGUGACUCCUGCGCUUAAGAGUUAUAGAACAGAAAAGCAAUAUUCACCUACCUGUUAUCAUCAUAAAAUUCGUUCAAGUUCUGAAUCUCCACAUAUUCAAGACCAGCCUCCCUGGCCAACCUGAGUUGCAUAAUAUGGACAUAACGAUUUAGAUAUAUAACAGAUAUGAGCGCUUAAAGGUCCACAAAUUUUUUCUUAAGGAAAAAGGUGGAGUAGUAAAACAGUGGAAGAAUGCUUUAAAUGAUGUUUGUUACUCAUAUUAGGUUAAGUAGCCACACUCCAAGUUCAGGAUACCAUUUCUAUACCAACCAAACUCUCAGUCAUCAUUCACUCUGGAGGCAGCACAAUUUGUGAUACUUCAUUGAAGGUUGGACACAGUUUAAAUACAGAAUUUAUUCAUUUCUAUUGCAAUUUUCACAAUUCUGACAUGCACAAGGCAUAGGCAACAGGCACUAAUGCAUGUGGUGGCAAAUAUAAUCAGUUAGGGGAG